rnacentral:rRNA from 1 species
AGUGAACGCUGGCGGCAGGCCUAAUACAUGCAAGUCGAACGGCAGCACAGUAAGCGUUCGCUCUUACCGGUGGCGAGUGGCGGACGGGUGAGGAAUACAUCAGAAUCUACUUUUUCGGGGGGGAUAACGUAGGGAAACUUAUGCUAACACCGCAUACGAUCUACGGGUGAAAGCAGGGGAUCUUCAGACUUUGCGUGACCCAUUGAGCCGAUGUCGGAUUAGCUAGUUGGCGGGGUAAAGGCCCACCAAGGCGACGAUCCGUAGCUGGUCUGAGAGGAUGAUCAGCCACACUGGAACUGAGACACGGUCCAGACUCCUACGGGAGGCAGCAGUGGGGAAUAUUCGGCAAAGGGCGCAAGCCUGAUCCAGCCAUGCCGCGUGAGUGAAGAAGGUCUUCGGGUUGUAAAGCCCUUUUGUUAGGAAAGAAAAGCAGCGGGUUAAACCCCCGCUGUUCUGACGGUACCCAAAGAGUAAGCACCGGCUAACUUCGUG